UGUUUAGUCAUCUACACCAAGCAAUGUGGAUUCCAUUUUGCACUCACAGAUAUUCUUGAAGAGAAACUUGUCAAGACUCUCGUUAGCGACAUACUCAUAAACCAAUAGCUUUUGCGUUCCAUGUGCACAGUAUCCUAACAAAUUUACAACAUUCCGGUGCUGGACUCGUGCCAGGAGCUUAGCCUCAUUCAUGAACUCUUUCUUCCCUU
rnacentral:misc_RNA from 1 species